GUUGACAGCUCUUGACCCAGGCUGGAAGGGUACCGUAAGCACAUAAUGGCUUGUUGCUAUGUCCAAGUCAUUAUAAGCAUGAACGCACCCGUAGAGUCACUUACCACAGUGGGUAACAUCUGAGCUCCUCUUCUCAGCCUUGCAGCUUUUCUCUGCUACUGAGCAUUGCUAGCAGUGGACCCCCUGUACCACCCCCCAUCAGCUUGCCACAGUGGUUUGCUCUCCCAGCUCUUGUUUCCCCUUCUUCAGCGGCAGCAGCAGCCCACCUGGUCCAGGAUCUGUUAUACACCUAGCCAAAAUGCCAGCGCUUAGGGCAGACGCCAUGUUCACAUUUAGCUGUAAGGUAAGGGAAAGUCAGCAUGGGAGAGCUGAGUGCCACAGGAAAACGCACCCUCGGCUUUGAUUGCUCCAUGGACAGUUAGUGCAGUCCGCUUCUGUCUGUGGAGUAUUUCCAGGUGCAGGAAGCGUCUGAUGCGGUCCACAAACACGGGACACUUGGUUAAACUUGAAGUGAGAAGAGCUGAAGAACUCUUAACUAGUCCGACUGUAACAGUCAUUUUACAGGGAGAGAUUUCAGACAAAGCAACAGAAGUCAGAGGGUUGUGAGCAAUACAAGAUAUAAGGCAUUUUGGGGACAUUUAAAAGAAUUUUUUAAAUGUGUUUCCUACUAGACCACUAUGUCCUUCAGGCAUGGAGCUAUGUCAUGUUGUGUUUCUGAAUCAUCAAUUCAAACCACUGCUUCUGAUUUUAGUCACAGGUUUACAACGGUUCAAAUCCCUACCCUCAUGUUUCAUUUCACUACCAAUCAUUUUUAAAUUCUAAGGUGUCUGGAUAGAAGAGUUCUGAGUAACUGGAAUACGUGUUGGGCCAUUACUCUGACAUCUAAUGCAUUUGGGCAGAGAAAGCCAGACAUGGGAUGCUUUGUGACACUGUGCAGACUACAUGGUCAUGUGCAUCAGACCCAUCCUGUGAUGUGCACAUGAAGUGAUAUGACAUAUGUGUUCUACUUCCAUGUGUCCCUUUGUAGCCUGCAGUAGCUUACUCAGGAGUUACACAAUGACAUAAAUAUCCGCCAGCUGUCGAGUGGCAUUUGAAGACUUUAUCCAUGACAAGGUUAUAGUGGCAUUACAUUAGUUGAGGGUCCUUCACUGCACACUGGUCCUUCCCUGUGAAUUCUCCCAGUCCAACCCUGUCUAGACUCUGCUGCAGACCAUUUGCAUGAUUUCUUGCUGUACAGCUGCAUUUGGGAACUCUAGGGCAUGACCACCCAGUCACUGGUAAUGCCUCUGGUACAGAGGUCGCAUGCAUUGAUCCUCUUCUCCAUUGUCUAUAUAUGGCCUUUAAUGGAAAGGAAAAAAUGCCACUACCCUGCAUUGCAGUUUUCAGAAUUCUUGUAAAUUGUGAACCCUUGAGUCACUUCUUCAGGGUACAAAGUGUUUCUAGUCAAGCUGUGUGGGGACAUCCUGCUUGUUUUAAAUGUCUUAUAUAUUUACAGUAUGGUCAGUAUCUUCCCUUUAC
rnacentral:lncRNA from 1 species